rnacentral:rRNA from 1 species
UACGUAGGGGGCAAGCGUUGUCCGGAAUCAUUGGGCGUAAAGCGCGUGUAGGCGGCCCGAUAAGUCCGCUGUGAAAGUCCAGGGCUCAACCCUGGAAUGCCGGUGGAUACUGUCGGGCUCGAGUCCGGAAGAGGCGAGUGGAAUUCCUGGUGUAGCGGUGAAAUGCGCAGAUAUCAGGAGGAACACCAAUGGCGAAGGCAGCUCGCUGGGACGGUACUGACGCUGAGACGCGAAAGCGUGGGGAGCAAACGGG